UACGUAGGGCGCAAGCGUUGUCCGGAAUUAUUGGGCGUAAAGAGCUCGUAGGUGGCGUGUCGCGUCUGCCGUGAAAGCCCAUGGCUUAACUGUGGGUCUGCGGUGGAUACGGGCAGGCUGGAGGCUGGUAGGGGCAAGCGGAAUUCCUGGUGUAGCGGUGAAAUGCGCAGAUAUCUACUGGAACGCCGAUGGUGAAGACGGUCGGCUGGGCCUUUCCUGACGCUGAGGCACGAAAGCGUGGGGAGCAAACAGG
rnacentral:rRNA from 1 species